UAGAGCCAUUCAAAUAAGGUACAGCCUAUUUGAAACAGGACACAACCUCGACUAACGGGUAAGCUAAUGAUCUUACACAACCAAGUGGGCCUAAAAGCAGCCACCUUUAAGAUAGCGUCAAAGCUUAAUUAUGUUAACAUUUAAUCUCUACAAUUUUCACCAACCCUUUAUUUAUAUUGAGUAAUUCUAUAUGCUUAUAGAACUUUUCAUGUUAAAACUAGUAACAAGAAGAAGACCUUCUCUUAAAUGCAAGCAUAAAUCAGGAAGGACACACCACUGAUGAUUAACACCUAUGAACAAAAAGAUAGAACCAAACAAGAAAACCCUACUUAUCCUUAUGUUAAUCUAACACAAGAGCAUUCCAAGAAAGAUUGAAAGAAAAAGAAGGAACUCGGGCAAUAAUAACCUCGCCUGUUUACCAAAAACAUCGCCUCUUUGUAAACAUAAGAGGUCCAGCCUGGCCAGUGACUCUGUUCAACGGCCGCGGUUU
rnacentral:rRNA from 1 species